CAGGCCUAACACAUGCAAGUCGAGGGGUAACAGGAGUAGCUUGCUACUUGCUGACGACCGGCGCACGGGUGCGUAACGCGUAUACGAUCUGCCUCAUACUGAGGGAUAGCCUUUGGAAACGAAGAUUAACACCUCAUGGUAUUAUUUUGUGGCAUCACAAAAUAAUUAAAGGUUACGGUAUGAGAUGAGUAUGCGUCCUUUUAGCUAGAUGGUGUGGUAACGGCAUACCAUGGCGACGAUAGGUAGGGGUCCUGAGAGGGAGAUCCCCCACACUGGUACUGAGACACGGACCAGACUCCUACGGGAGGCAGCAGUGAGGAAUAUUGGACAAUGGAGGCAACUCUGAUCCAGCCAUGCCGCGUGAAGGAAGACUGCCCUAUGGGUUGUAAACUUCUUUUAUAUAGGAAGAAACACUUCUACGUGUAGAAGCUUGACGGUACUAUAUGAAUAAGCACCGGCUAACUCCGUGCCAGCGGCCGCGGUAAUACGGAGGGUGCAAGCGUUAUCCGGAAUCAUUGGGUUUAAAGGGUCCGUAGGCGGAUAGAUAAGUCAGAGGUGAAAUCCUGCAGCUCAACUGUAGAACUGCCUUUGAUACUGUUUAUCUUGAGUUAUUGUGAAGUGGUUAGAAUAUGUAGUGUAGCGGUGAAAUGCAUAGAUAUUACAUAGAAUACCGAUUGCGAAGGCAGAUCACUAACAAUAUACUGACGCUGAUGGACGAAAGCGUGGGGA
rnacentral:rRNA from 1 species